AAACAUUUCUUGCAUCUUCUCCAUUGUUUUCCCAAGGCACUGGAUCGUCUUCACUAGCAUUAUUCUGAAUUCUUUUUCUGGAAGGUUGCCCAUCUCCACUUCAUUUAAUUGUUUUUCUAGGGUUUUAUCUCAUCCCUUCAUCUGUGACAUUUUGCUUCUUCAUCCUGAUUAACUUUCUGUAAUAUGCUUUUGUUCUAGCUACUGUGGUAUUGUGGCUCUUCUUGCUUCUUCUGUCUACACUCUGUUGGAAGAGGCUAAGAGGCUUGUGUAAGCUUCCUGAUGAGAGGGACUGGUGGUGGGAAAAACUGGGUCUUUCUCUAACGGGCAGGGCCUUGCUCAGUAAAGCUUUAAUCCAAUUAUCUCUGAUAGGUGGGGUUGCUGCUCCCUCCAUUUUAGUUUUUUGGCUUGAGGUGACCCAGCCCUGGGCUGCAGGGUUAAUGGUGAGCUCAAAGAGCGCUUACGCCAAGAUGGACCUUUCAAGACCAGCUGCUGCCAGUGCCCUGAUCUCUGUGGUGAGCCCUUCCUGACCCACGCCUCCGCAGGAGACCCUCCAACACUAGCAGGUCAUUUUGGUUCAGUCUGCUGUGGGCUCAUUGCUCCUUUCUUCUGGGUCUUUGUGUGCACAAGAUUUUGUUUGUGUCCUCCAAGACUGGAGUCUCUGUUUCCCCCAGUCCUGUGGAAGUCCUAUCAUCAAAUCCUGCUGGCUUCAAGGUCAGGUUCCCAGUUCCUUUGUCAGAUCCCCAGGCUGGGAAGCCUGACAUGGGGUUCAGAAUCUUCACAACAGUGGGAGAACUACUUUGGUAUUAUUGUUCUCCAGUUUGUAGGUAACCCACCCGGCAGGUAUGGGAUUUGAUUUUAUUGUGGUUGUGGCCCUCCUACCAUCUCACUGUGGCUUCUUAUUUGCCUUUGGAGAUGGGAUAUCUUAUUUUGUAGGGUUCCUGCAUCGUCCUGUUCAUGGUUAGUCAACAGUUAGUUGCAAUUUUGGUGCUGUUGCAGGAGGAGAUGAGCAUACAACCUUUUAUUCCACAAUCUUGAACCAGAACGACUCCAAAACUGGUAUGUUUUAGAGCAUCUUGAAAUUGUAGAAAGAUUUCAAGAGGCAAAGCUUCAGAAGAGAUAUAGUCUAUUUCUCUAUUUACCACUGGUGUCUAGAGAGAGAAAAUGUGUGUUCUACCAGUUGCAAGAUCAACAAUAGAGGACCAAAUGAAGAGGAAUGGUUAAUAAAAGACAAACAUUGAUGGAAAUUGUUUCAGUUUAGGUUCCCUAAAAAUAGCCUGAAGUGGGGAUUCUUAUAAAAUUAGUUUAGUGAGGUAGUGAUUUCAGGUGAAACUCAUAAGCAAAUGAGGGAAACAGGAUGUGGUCAGGAGGAAGCUGGGCAAAGAUGCAGGUAUGACUGACGUGUAGCCCAACCCAUCACAGAGUGUAGCCCAUCACAGAGCUGGUUCACACUGAGGCAAGGAUGCUGGCUUUGUGUUCCUCUGCAUUACCCAUCACUGACUGUCUUUUCCAGCUGGAUAUGACUCUUCCAGGCACUAGAACUUGGAGCUUCAUGGUCACUAUUUUGCUGACAUCACUGUUCAAGUCACUUACCUUUUCAGGCCAACAUGCUUCUUGUCCACAAGCAGUGGAGACUGGAGAAGCAGGGCUGGGAAGUCAUGGAGGCAGAGACCUACACCCAUCCCCCUGCAGGAAUCACUGCUUAGCAAGUUAUGCUAGGGCAUUCACCCCUGGAGCCACGUCACCACAGCUGAAAAUAUCACUGGAGCGGUGGCCACAGACCAUGCACCAUUGAGCUCUGCUGAAAAGGAUGGGCCCUAAAGGUUUUUCUUGACUCUUGGGCUGAUCAAGUAUCUUCGCCUGACCCUGGGCUUCCUGAAUUACUCCCUGUUUUCAGGACAUCUGGCUUCGACUUCCCUGGUGGCUCAGCGGUUAAAGCGUCUGCUUGCAAUGAGAAAGACCUGGGUUCGAUCCCUGGGUAGGGAAGAUCCCCUGGAGAAAGAAAUGGCAACCCACUCCAGUAUUCUUGCCUGGAGAAUCCCAUGGAUGGAGGAGCUGCAAAGAAUCCGACACGACUAAGCGACUUCACUUCCACUUUUCUUUCCCAGAGGACAUUCAGUAUCUUAAAUCCCUCUGCUCCUUCCGUCUCUGACCCACAAUUUAGCUUUCAGGUUCUGUUCUCGACUGUGUUUCAAAUUGUGGUUUUUUCUUUCUCCCUGUACAUUGUCACUGAUGGUUUCCAAUUUAUUAGAAUACAGGAGAGGGAUAAAUGAAAACUGACUAUCCUGGGCCAAAUAAAUACAAGACGACUUUUCCUAUUGCCAAGUAUUUUAUGUUAAAAAACAGAAGAGAAAACCAAAAUAAAACAACAGCCUCAAACUCCCCAAUUCUUGGCUUUCAUUUGCAUUGCAACUGUUAUUCUGGCUGGUCUUGUAUUUUGCCCCAGGAGGAGUUGGUAGAAUAUGGUCUUAUUCCAGGAAGGCAAUGAGGUAAGAGGUAAAAUGCAUACUUGCCACAUUGUAACCAUUUUGAGUCAUUAGAAGAAAGUGAUUUUCAUUUAAUAUGAUUCCCCUUUCCAUGACACCCUUCACCCUAACCAGUAGGCAGAAAGAGGUUGUGGUGAAUCAUUGAACUUUACACUCAAGGCUGUGCUUUUCCAGAGUGGAAGUAACUUGGUAUGUUUCAGGUCCUACAAAUCUAUCAAAAAAGAAAAAUACAUUGUGUCCAUCCAUAAAUAUUUUAUAUUUUGAUAGUGACAAAUUGUCCUCCAAGACAUAUCAAGAAGUACCUUCCUGUGUAUUAAUAUUAAUUUCUUCACUUUAUAAUAGCACUGAUUUUUUCCUCAAAUUUUUAUUAUGUGGAAAUAUAUAUAACAUACAAUUUGCCAUUUUAAGCAUUUUAAAGCUACAGUUUUGUGGCAUUAGUUAUAUUUACAGUGCCCUACAACUAUUGCCAUUAAAACUUUUUCAUCACCCCGAACAGAAGCUCUGUAACUAUUAAAUAAUACUCCUCAUUCUCACAUUACCCUAACCCCUGACAAUGUCCACCCUGCUUUCUCUCUGUAUGAAUUUACCCAUUCUAGACAUUUAAGUUGAUCUUGUAAUAUUUGACCUGUAACUGGCUUAUUUCACUGAGUAUACAUUUUCAGGAUUCUUUGUUGUUGUAGCAUGUAUUACAACUUCUUUCCUUUUCAUGGCUGUGCAACAUUCCAUUAUAUGUAUGUACCAUAUUCUGUUUAGGCAUCUGUUGAUGGACACCUGGGUUGUUUCACAUAUUGACUGUAGUGAACAGAGCUGCAAUCAAUAUUUGUGUACAUUUUGAAUCCCUGAAUUCAAUUCUUCGGUGUAUUCUUAGGAGUGUGAUUGUUGAGUCUUACGGUAAUUCUAUGUUUAAGAAUUUAAUGCUUUUUAAGGAACUACCAAACUCUUUUCCACAGUAGCUGCAUUUAACAUUCCUAACAGCAAGGGGUGGGGUCCUAAAUUCUCCACAUCCUCACCAACAUUUACUUCCACUUUUUAAAAUUAUAGUUAUUCUAGUAGGUUCGAAGUGGUGUUUCACUGUGUUUUCUUUGCAUUUGUCAAAGUAUUGAUUUUUUUUUCAUAAUCAGCUUUUAAUUUUGUGAGUUAUCUCUUAUUUUUCUACUUUCCAUUAAUUUGUUUCUAAUGUUUAUUACUUCCUUCUGCUAACUUUGAGUUUAGUUUCUUUUUCGAUAAAGAAGACUGUGUAUGCUCUGUGCACUUGAGACUGUGUAUUCUACUGUAGUUGAAGGGAAUAUUCUAUAAAUGUCUGUUAGGUCUAAUGAUUUCUAACAUAGUGUCAGGUUUUCUAUUUCCUUAUUGAUUUUCUAUCUAGAACAUCAACCCAUCAUAGAAAGUACGGGCAUCAAAGUCUCCAACUAUUAUUUUAGAAAUGUUUAUUUCCAAAUUCUGUUGUAAUUCUCUCAAUAUGUCCUUCAUAUAUUUUGAGGCACAGUUAUUUUGUACAUGUAUAUAUUUAUAAUUGUUGUAUCUUCUUGAAGAAUGGAUUAUUGGAGGCUGUCCUGAUUCAUUUACUAACUGGCUUUGCCAGACUAUUUUUGCAAAGACUGUAUUCCUUGUCAUUUGAGGUCACUGAUGUCUCUUUACUUUCUCUUGUAUUUAAAUAGUGUUUGACAGAAAAUUUCUUAAAUAUCAGGAGCUACACAAAGAAAGAAAUUUAUGGUAGUCCUUAUUGCCAGUCUAGAGGGUGAAAAAACUAUCUCAUUGUUUUCAUUUUAUUUCCUUGGUAAUUUGUACAGUUGCAUUUUCUUAAGUUUCCUAAGUAACUUUGCCAGGGACUUAGGUUUUUUUUAAUUUUUUUCAUUUAUAGAAUUUCUUCAAAUAGCAUUCAUAUAAAUUAUUUAUUACAUAUAUUGAGGUUAUAUUCUCAGACCUACCAAUUUUAUUUUAAUAUUAUUUUACA